ACUCCUACGGGAGGCAGCAGUGGGGAAUAUUGCACAAUGGGCGCAAGCCUGAUGCAGCCAUGCCGCGUGUGGUUGGAAGAAGGCCUUCGGGUUGUAAAGCACUUUCAGUCGUGAGGAAGGUAGUGAGUUAAUAGCUGCAUAUUUGACGUUAGCGACNGAAGAAGCACCGGGCUAACUCCGUGCCAGCAGCCGCGGUAAUACGGAGGGUGCGAGCGUUAAUCGGAAUUACUGGGCGUAAAGCGCAUGCAGGUGGUUUGUUAAGUCAGAUGUGAAAGCCCGGGGCUCAACCUCGGAAUUGCAUUUGAAACUGGCGACUAGAGUACUGUAGAGGGGGGUAGAAUUUCAGGUGUAGCGGUGAAAUGCGUAGAGAUCUGAAGGAAUACCGGUGGCGAAGGCGGCCCCCUGGACAGAUACUGACACUCAGAUGCGAAAGCGUGGGGAGCAAACAGGAUUAGAUACCCUGGUAGCUACGAGU
rnacentral:rRNA from 1 species